rnacentral:rRNA from 1 species
AACGGGUGAGUAAUGCGUGACCGACCUGCCCCAUACACCGGAAUAGCUCCUGGAAACGGGUGGUAAUGCCGGAUGCUCCAGUUGAUCGCAUGGUCUUCUGGGAAAGCUUUCGCGGUAUGGGAUGGGGUCGCGUCCUAUCAGCUUGACGGCGGGGUAACGGCCCACCGUGGCUUCGACGGGUAGCCGGCCUGAGAGGGCGACCGGCCACAUUGGGACUGAGAUACGGCCCAGACUCCUACGGGAGGCAGCAUG